UGCCUACUGCUGUAAGAAUAUGUUUGACAUUUAGUUGGUUCCUAAUUAAACAACCCAAUAUCAAACAUAUCACACAGAAGCAGGCA
rfam:Sus scrofa isolate TJ Tabasco breed Duroc chromosome 4, whole genome shotgun sequence.